rnacentral:rRNA from 1 species
GACGAACGCUGGCGGCGUGCUUAACACAUGCAAGUCGAGCGGAAAGGCCCUUCGGGUACUCGAGCGGCGAACGGGUGAGUAACACGUGGGUAACCUGCCCUUCACUCUGGGAUAACUCCGGGAAACCGGGGCGUAAUACCGGAUACGACCACUUUAGGCAUCUUCGGUGGUGGAAAGUUUUUACGGUUGGAGGAGUGGACCC